rnacentral:rRNA from 1 species
GGCUCAGCGAUCGGGUCUUCCUUAACUGGUUGCACUCGAGCCGCUUUGCCUUAUCUUCUAGACACACGUCUCAGCAGACGUGCGGCUCUAGGACUUUUACUGUGAAUAAAUUAGAGUGUUCAAAGCAGGCAAUCGCUUGAAUACGUUAGCAUGGAAUAAUGGAAUAGGACUUUGACCUAUUUGUUGGUUUCUCGAGGUCAAAGUA